UACGUAGGGCGCAAGCGUUGUCCGGAAUUAUUGGGCGUAAAGAGCUCGUAGGCGGUUUGUCGCGUCCGCUGUGAAAACCUAAGGCUCAACCUUGGGCUUGCAGUGGGUACGGGCAGACUAGAGUGCGGUAGGGGUGACUGGAAUUCCUGGUGUAGCGGUGGAAUGCGCAGAUAUCAGGAGGAACACCGAUGGCGAAGGCAGGUCACUGGGCCGCAACUGACGCUGAGGAGCGAAAGCGUGGGGAGCAAACAGG
rnacentral:rRNA from 1 species